rnacentral:lncRNA from 1 species
CCUGUUCCCAAGGACAGGCCGGGCGUGAAGGCCGAUAUGCACAGAUUCCUGUUGCUGUUGGACAAUUAAACUGUACGCGAAAGUGAAAGCAGCGCAGGAGAAACCCGAGUUUGCACAAGUGAAAAUGUGGAAGACCUUUUUUUUUUUCUGAAUGUGAAAUACCAAGGAGUCGUAUCUGCAGGGGACUUCCAGCGACAUUGAUUAACUAUUUCUGGGCUGCUCGUUGAAUGGCGCAACGUCCCCGCAGCUAAACUUGUAUGGCAACCGUGAUUAAAGCUCUUCAAUGGAAUCUGGACGACAGACAAAUGGAUCAGGACGAGCAUCUCCCCCGAAGCGGAAACCACGCUUGGCUCCGAACGCUUGGCAUGAAACACAGCAGGAGACCACCCAUCGUAACGCUACUGGACGCGAGGGGGUCCGCCCAGCGGGGGGCUAAUGUGGACCACGUUUCCUCUCGGAAUAACAAGCGCUCAAAGCAGCUCGUCCGUCAGUGAAGUAACAUACAAAUAAAGAUAUACGAACUCCGGGGCCCUAAUAUAAU